rnacentral:rRNA from 1 species
GACGAACGCUGGCGGCGCGCCUAACACAUGCAAGUCGAACGAGAGAGAAGGAGCUUGCUUCUUCGAUCGAGUGGCGAACGGGUGAGUAACGCGUGAGGAACCUGCCUCAAAGAGGGGGACAACAGUUGGAAACGACUGCUAAUACCGCAUAAGCCCACAGGUCGGCAUCGACCAGAGGGAAAGGAGCGAUCCGCUUUGAGAUGGCCUCGCGUCCGAUUAGCUAGUUGGUGAGGUAACGGCCCACCAAGGCGACGAUCGGUAGCCGGACUGAGAGGUUGAACGGCCACAUUGGGACUGAGACACGGCCCAGACUCCUACGGGAGGCAGCAGUGGGGAAUAUUGCACAAUGGGGGAAACCCUGAUGCAGCGACGCCGCGUGGAGGAAGAAGGUCUUCGGGAUUGGUAAACUCCUGUUGUUGAGGAAGAUAAUGACGGGUACUCAACAAGGGAAGUGACGGCUAGCUACGUGCCAGCAGCCGCCGCGGGUAAG